UUACACAGCCAUCUCAACAUGCAGCCCAAGACCGGUUACUCACUGAAGCUAAGCAGGGCUGAGCCUGGUCAGUACAUGGAUGGAAGACCACAUAGGAAAACUAGGUUGCUGUUGGAA
ensembl:rRNA 5S_rRNA 5S ribosomal RNA